rnacentral:RNase_P_RNA from 1 species
GUAAGCUGAAGUGCAGUUAACGGUGAAUUUCACUGAGGAAACUCCAUCCACUACAGAAAACCAUGAUGUAUUUAAUUAACAUACGCUGAGAAGUGUGACACUGAAAUAGAAACGAUACGAUACGUCUAAACCAGGCUUUGAAAGAUGAUACAAUUACGUUGAUGAUGCCUAAGAUAGAUAAUCGAUGAAACGAUCAAUCCAUGGAGUGCAAAAGUAAAUAUUGUCAUUUCUGUUAAAGAAGACAAAGGUAUCUUGCUAAGAUAAAUACUGCAAUAAAACAUGAGGUGGGUUACUCUCAGCAUGC